rnacentral:rRNA from 1 species
AUACGUAGGGAGCAAGCGUUGUCCGGAAUUACUGGGCGUAAAGGGCGUGUAGGCGGCCGAUCAAGUCAGGUGUGAAAUUUCAGGGCUCAACCCUGAGCGUGCACUUGAAACUGGUUGGCUUGAGUGCAGAAGAGGAAAGUGGAAUUCCCAGUGUAGCGGUGAAAUGGGUAGAUAUUGGGAGGAACACCAGUGGCGAAGGCGACUUUCUGGGCUACAACUGACGAUGAGGGUAGAAAGUUAGGGCAGCAAGCAGGAUGUGAUCACCUGGGAUCCCUAGCUGUACACGAUGGGUUCUAGGUGUAGGGGGUUUAGCCGCCCUCUGUGCCGCAGUUAACACAUUAAGUACCCCGCCUGGGGAGUACGGCCGCAAGGCUGAAACUCACAGGAAUUGACGGGU